GAUGAACGCUAGCGGGAGGCCUAACACAUGCAAGCCGAGCGGUAUUGUUUCUUCGGAAAUGAGAAAGCGGCGUACGGGUGCGGAACACGUGUGCAACCUGCCUUUAUCUGGGGGAUAGCCUUUCGAAAGGAAGAUUAAUACUCCAUAACAUAUUGAUUGGCAUCAAUUAAUAUUGAAAGCUCCGGCGGAUAGAGAUGGGCACGCGCAAGAUUAGCUAGUUGGUGAGGUAACGGCUCACCAAGGCGAUGAUCUUUAGGGGGCCUGAGAGGGUGAUCCCCCACACUGGUACUGAGACACGGACCAGACUCCUACGGGAGGCAGCAGUGAGGAAUAUUGGUCAAUGGGUGCAAGCCUGAACCAGCCAUCCCGCGUGAAGGACGACUGCCCUAUGGGUUGUAAACUUCUUUUGUAUAGGGAUAAACCUACCCUCGUGAGGGUAGCUGAAGGUACUAUACGAAUAAGCACCGGCUAACUCCGUGCCAGCAGCCGCGGUAAUACGGAGGGUGCAAGCGUUAUCCGGAUUUAUUGGGUUUAAAGGGUCCGUAGGCGGACUUAUAAGUCAGUGGUGAAAGCCUGUCGCUUAACGAUAGAACUGCCAUUGAUACUGUAAGUCUUGAGUAUAUUUGAGGUAGCUGGAAUAAGUAGUGUAGCGGUGAAAUGCAUAGAUAUUACUUAGAACACCAAUUGCGAAGGCAGGUUACCAAGAUAUAACUGACGCUGAGGGACGAAAGCGUGGGGAGCGAACAGGAUUAGAUACCCUGGUAGUCCACGCCGUAAACGAUGCUAACUCGUUUUUGGGCUUUAGGGUUCAGAGACCAAGCGAAAGUGAUAAGUUAGCCACCUGGGGAGUACGCUCGCAAGAGUGAGACUCAAAGGAAUUGACGGGGGCCCGCACAAGCGGUGGAUUAUGUGGUUUAAUUCGAUGAUACGCGAGGAACCUUACCAAGACUUAAAUGGGAAUUGACAGCUUUAGAAAUAGAGCUUUCUUCGGACAAUUUUCAAGGUGCUGCAUGGUUGUCGUCAGCUCGUGCCGUGAGGUGUUAGGUUAAGUCCUGCAACGAGCGCAACCCCUGUCACUAGUUGCCAUCAUUCAGUUGGGGACUCUAGUGAGACUGCCUACGCAAGUAGAGAGGAAGGUGGGGAUGACGUCAAAUCAUCACGGCCCUUACGUCUUGGGCCACACACGUAAUACAAUGGCCGGUACAGAGGGCAGCUACACAGCGAUGUGAUGCAAAUCUCGAAAGCCGGUCUCAGUUCGGAUUGGAGUCUGCAACUCGACUCUAUGAAGCUGGAAUCGCUAGUAAUCGCGCAUCAGCCAUGGCGCGGUGAAUACGUUCCCGGGCCU
rnacentral:rRNA from 1 species